AACGAACGCUGGCGGCAGGCCUAACACAUGCAAGUCGAGCGCCCCGCAAGGGGAGCGGCGGACGGGUGAGUAACGCGUGGGAAUAUGCCCUUUGCUACGGAAUAGUCUCGGGAAACUGGGGGUAAUACCGUAUACGCCCUUUGGGGGAAAGAUUUAUCGGCGAAGGAUUAGCCCGCGUUGGAUUAGGUAGUUGGUGGGGUAAUGGCCUACCAAGCCGACGAUCCAUAGCUGGUGUGAGAGGAUGAUCAGCCACACUGGGACUGAGACACGGCCCAGACUCCUACGGGAGGCAGCAGUGGGGAAUCUUAGACAAUGGGGGCAACCCUGAUCUAGCCAUGCCGCGUGAGUGAUGAAGGCCUUAGGGUUGUAAAGCUCUUUCAGCUGGGAAGAUAAUGACGGUACCAGCAGAAGAAGCCCCGGCUAACUCCGUG
rnacentral:rRNA from 1 species